rnacentral:lncRNA from 1 species
GGGCCCUGAGGCAGGAACAUACCUGGUGACCUUUGGUAAGCAACUCCGGCCGCUGUGGAGCCCUUUGCAGCUCUGUUGCAGUUUCUUUCACCCAUGCCCCAGCAUUCUCCGGAAAUAGUGUAACCUGAUAGCAGUGCCUUCCUCUGUCCCUCUGCUGUAUCUGGCUUCUCAUGUGUGCCCUUAAAGUACAAAGAAGGUUAAUGUAUUGUAGACAGAAAACCUUCAAUAGAUCGCUGCUCUGCUUUGCGUUAAAACAUCAUCUCCCUGGGAGUUACCCGCUUCUGCUUCUGUCACAUGCAGGCCCUGUUGUUCUAUCCGAUGCCCUACUAGAUUGGAUGGUGAUUCACUAUGCAUAGCAUGGAUCUGCACAUGCCUAAAACAAUAUCAUCUAUUGCAAUAGCAAUAGUACCGGUUUAUCCUAGUUGUUAAUGUAAAAUAUGUAAUGUUAAGUAGCCCAUUGUAAUUCCAUGUCCAAUGUACAGCGAUUGAACAAAUUUCUAACGAGCAAGUGGUUUCUCAGACAAUGAAAAAGGAGGAAGAGGCAAGACCAACGGUGUCUGCUGCCCUUUGCUUGCUUUUUCUCACCCCUCCUGUAUUUCUACUCCUAAGCUUUAAAUAGCUCUGCUUCCAAGGUCUAUUCAAAUGCUAACAAGUCAG